UCCAGGGUUGUUGCAGUGCUGUUUCUUGAGUCCCUCCUCCUCUCCCCACUUCCCUUUUCUCUCCACUCAUUUGACAGGAGCCUCCGCAAUCAUCUGCUUAGAACACGUCAUCAUCAUCCACUGGGAGAGAGUUGUGGCACCACCUUUCUCCCCCUAUGGCUGAAGCCCACAGAAGAAAGAUGAGGAGUUGUGCUUCUGCGCUGGAGCCGCGCGACUGCCCGGAAUUGUAACCUGCAAGAUGAUGCCCAAGUGCAGCUUCCCCCUUUUUGUGCCGCAUAGAACUGUAUGCUGCCCUUCUUGAAGCUGAUGCUUUCUCCUUUAGAGCCAUGCCCUCCACAUUGCCCAGAUGAUGUGCUAAGUCCCUUCCACUUGCAGAGAUUCAGUGCAUUAAGUGUAAAAACCACACAUCUCUGUUUUUUCUUUUAGUAAGGGAGUAAAGACCCAGAGGUGGAUGGUUUCAUUUGGAUUAGUCAUGCUGUUUAUCGGGUCCCUGUCCUCUGACAUGAAAAUUCCCAUCUCCCAUCGGGGUAUAGCUGUCGG
rnacentral:lncRNA from 1 species